CAGUUCGGAUCGCAGGCUGCAACCCGCCUGCGUGAAGUCGGAAUCGCUAGUAAUCGCGGAUCAGCAUGCCGCGGUGAAUACGUUCCCGGGCCUUGUACACACCGCCCGUCACACCAUGAGAGUCGGGAACACCCGAAGUCCGUAGCCUAACCGAAAGGGGGGCGCGGCCGAAGGUGGGUUCGAUAAUUGGGGUGAAGUCGUAACAAGGUACC
rnacentral:rRNA from 1 species